GGAUCGGUAGCUCAGUCGGUAGAGCAGUGGACUCUUAAUCCAACGGUCGCGGGUUCGAUCCCCGCCCGAUCCA
rnacentral:tRNA from 1 species